rnacentral:lncRNA from 1 species
CUUAUAUUGACUAGCCUACAAUAGGCUAGCCAAGACGAAUGCUUUUGUAGCUUUCUUUUUGUAGACUAUCAACAGUAGCCAGCAUAUUCCUAGUAUUUUCACUAUCGAAGGUUUACUUUUGUAAAUCACUUUCCCAAAAACAAAUAAGCUCAGAGAGUAGAUUUAUGGGUGCUUUUUCUUUGCUCUGAACAGGUCGCGUGUACUAUCAAGACAUCAACUCGUGUACUGCUCGAGUGGUCGAGAAGUUGUGACUCGCGGGAUCGUGGUGGUGUUUGAGGGAACAGCCACUCAUAGCUCAAAUACAUAUAGCAUGACAUUUACACGUGUUCAUGAAUGGUUUUCAAUGGUAGACUGCGACAGAGCAGGUUCCUCUGGAGGCGUUUCGAAAGCCCGGCCCCACCAGGAUCCCUAAACCCAAAGGCUACGGCAUGCCCAGAGGGACAAACAGCACUAUUAACACUGGACAGAGCAAAGGACAGCUGCCGGCCACCGUGCACUCUGGGAGAAACACUGUGAAUGGUCAGACUGCGUCCAACAGGAGAGAUGGUCCAACCACAUUCGUUCAGAACAUUGCAGAAAUGUAAUAACUAGAGCUGUGACACAAUUCCAUAUUUUACUGACUGAGUAAAUAACAAAUUGCAGGUGCUAUAAUAUUGAGACCAACUGCUUGCACUAGUGCUGUGUAAAUCAAUAAAGAAUUGAUUUAUCUGCCAUUUUGUGCAAUCGUUUGUCUAUCUCUCAAUUUUUUGGUCUAUUGA